rnacentral:tRNA from 1 species
UGCGGGGUGGAGCAGCCCGGUAGCUCGUCAGGCUCAUAACCUGAAGGCCGCAGGUUCAAAUCCUGCCUCCGCAACCA